rnacentral:lncRNA from 1 species
CUUGGCUUGAAACUGCUGCAAUGCAUUCUUUCUUUGUGUAUCAGAAUGCAAUGAGGGACAAAGUGAUAGGAGUUGUCAAGUUUUGAAAUGAAUAAUAGGAAGUCUUCAGAGUGAAGCUUAUCAAAGAGAUGUGCUAAAAAUACAGCUGGCUCCAAGAGCAUCUGGGAAGCAGAAGGAUUAGCGAGGAGCCCUUAAUUGCAGCAGAACAAAGACCCCUGCUGAAGGGAAUGUUUCUUUCACCAGUUGCACCUGCAAGCAGAAGCAGCAAGUGCAGAGGUUAAGAACAUGGACACUGGAACCAGACUGCCUGGGGGCCCUGCCACUUACCAGCUAUGUGACCUUUGCUAAAGAUUUAUCUUUUCUGUGCCUCUGUUUGCUUAUCUGUAAAACAUGGAUAACCACAGUACCAACAUUAUGGUGUUGUGAUGAUUCAAUAGCUUAUACUAUUCAAUACACUUGAAACAGUUCCUGGCACCUAAUAAAUGUUACCUAAGUGUGUG